rnacentral:misc_RNA from 1 species
AAGACUAUAGACCUGCGGAGUACCUGCGGAAGGAUCAUUAACGUAUCUAUGAUGGGGUGCGGAGCGCCCUGCUCCGGUCGAACGGCCGUGCAGCGGGUGCGCCGCCCCUGUCCCACCUCACAAACCCACUGUGAACAUUCACCGGUGGAGGGGGCUCGGUCUGCGCCGUGUCCCCGAUGCCGAAUACCCAAACUCCAGUUGCAAAGAACGUCGUGCGGACUCGGUGCCGCCUAAAACAUG